CAGCAGCCGCGGGAAUACAGAGGGUGCGAGCGUUAAUCGGAUUUACUGGGCGUAAAGCGUGCGUAGGCGGCUAAUUGAGUCGGAUGUGAAAUCCCCGAGCUUAACUUGGGAAUUGCAUUCGAUACUGGUUAGCUAGAGUGUGGGAGAGGAUGGUAGAAUUCCAGGUGUAGCGGUGAAAUGCGUAGAGAUCUGGAGGAAUACCGAUGGCGAAGGCAGCCAUCUGGCCUAACACUGACGCUGAGGUACGAAAGCAUGGGGAGCAAACAGGAUUAGAUACCCCAGUAGUCCCUGUCUCUUAUAU
rnacentral:rRNA from 1 species